rnacentral:lncRNA from 1 species
GGUCUGAUUUUUAUGGUUGACAGUAAUGACAGAGAGCAGAUUGAUGAGGCCUGGGAAGUGCUAACUUACUUGUUAGAGGACGAUGAGCUCAGAAAUGCAGUUUUAUUGGUAUUUGCCAAUAAACAAGAUCUCCCUAAUACUAUGAACGCGGCAGAGAUAACGGACAAGCUCGGCCUCCAUUCCCUCCGCUACAGAAACUGGCACAUUCAGGCUACUUGUGCCACUACUGGACAUGGGCUUUACGAAGGCCUGAACUGGCUCGCCAACCAGUUCCAGAACCAGAACUGA